AUCCCUACGGGGGGCAGCAGUCGAGAAUCAUUCACAAUGGGGGAAACCCUGAUGGUGCGACGCCGCGUGGGGGAAUGAAGGUGUUCGGAUUGUAAACCCCUGUUAUGUGGGAGCAAAUUAAAAAGAUAGUACCACAAGAGGAAGAGACGGCUAACUCUGUGCCAGCAGCCGCGGUAAUACAGAGGUCUCAAGCGUUGUUCGGAAUCACAGGGCGUAAAGCGUGCGUAGGCUGUUUCGUAAGUCGUAUGUGAAAGGCGCGGGCUCAACCUGCGGGCGGCACAU
rnacentral:rRNA from 1 species